rnacentral:rRNA from 1 species
ACGGAGGGUCCAAGCGUUAUCCGGAUUUAUUGGGUUUAAAGGGUUCGUAGGCGGAAGAUUAAGUCAGUGGUGAAAUCCUACAGCUCAACUGUAGAACUGCCAUUGAUACUGAUUUUCUUGAGUAUAAUUGGAGUUGGCGGAAUAUGUCAUGUAGCGGUGAAAUGCUUAGAUAUGACAUAGAACACCGAUCGCGAAAGCAGCCAACUAAGUUAUAACUGACGCUGAGGAACGAAAGCGUGGGGAGCGAACAGG